GUCGAGGUCACUCCCUUCCCUGCAGGGAGGACCCGUGAACCCAGCGGGGCUCCAGGUGCUCAGAGUUCCAGAGGAGAGUUGUGAGGGCCGCCCCCGAGCCUUGGCCCUCCUGCUGCUCCCACCCCAGGCUCUGGCCCACCCCUUGACAGUGAGGGGCCCUCUGGGACCAGUCACCGCACCCGGCCACACUGCCCCAGGGAUCGGCCAGACCAGAGAUGUGGGCCGGCCCUCCGCACCUCCCUGGGGCUGGCCGUCCGGGCUGACGGGGUGGCAGCCCAGUGCUGGCUUGGACCCAGAAGCAGGGCUGGAGGGACAUGGGAGCUGUGGGGGCCUGGGGGCAGUCCCGGGGGCUGGGCCCGCGGCCACCUUGCUGCUCUGACUCUUCAUCGCCCGGCUGGACACUGCCCCUGGGGACCCCCCCUCCAGCUCUUCCUGCAGGAGGACCUGGUGGCUGGACCAGCAUCGGUGGCCUCUGCUAAUCCUUUUUUUUUUUUUAGAAUUUCAGUAUUUUUUGUGGAUUUGCCGGUGAGACACAGUGUGAGGGACAGUGUGAGGACUGGGGGUAGGCAGAGGACAGUGCACUGCACCCCGGCAGUGGCCCUGCCCCCUGCACUCCCCAGGCUUCCGCAACCUCCGCUCUCAGACUUUGGAAAGUAGGAGGUUUCGCGGGUCCGGCGUUGCAGGACUGGAAGCCAGCUUUGCUCCAGGUCUGUGAGGCGCCGUCGUGGGCCAGGCCCGGACCCCCGGAGUUCCCCCCCGAGGCCGUGUCCGGGUAGGGUGGCAGCCCUGAGCUCGGCGCCCUGGGUUCUGGGACUGCAGGCCACGGUGCUGGCUCAGACCUCGGCCCUGGGGGGUGUGGGGGUGGAAGCGUUGAUUAGGUUUUUAUUUAUUUACUUACUUAAAUGGAGGCUCUGGGGAUUGAACCCAGGACCUUGUGCGUGCUAAGCACACGCUCUACCACUGAGCUGCAGUUUGCAGUGUUCCCUGCCUAAAUUGAAACGUCAUAUUCAUUGCUGUUACUUUGACAGAACCGUGGUUUCAUCUCGAAGGGAAGAGAGAGCUGCGGAGUGAGCGCAGGCCCAGUGGCCAGUGACACUGGGAUAAAGCUGUCUGAGGGGGUUUUCCAGGGCACAUGGCCCUCUGGCUGUGGCCAUGCACUGGGGGCCCUGCCCCGGGCUCUACCCCACAUUCACACAGCUCACCUGCCACACCCUCUGGGGGGGGGCUUUGUCUCCUAGCCCCCUGUCUAUCCAUCCACUUUGGAUAGGACAGAGCCCCCUAGAGCCCAGGCACCAUGACACGGGAGUCAGUGGUUCCUAACAAUGGGCUCCUUCUGGGGACCCACUGCUGGGACACCUGCAGCCCAUCCUCUUCCGAAGACACUCAGAGGCGGAAGCCCUGCAGAACCAGGCUGGCAGCCUCUGUGGUCACUUGAGCCUGUGGAGCCAGAAGGAAGCUGGCAGGUGCGGCUUGCUCCAGGUGCCCCCACUGCCACUCCACACCUUUGACUCAGAGCUACAUCAAGUCCCUCAUCAUGGAGGUUCUGGAAUCCCCUUCCUCUCGCUGGCCUGAAGUCCUUCACGUCCCCACGGUGGUCUGUCGCUGCUGUCAAACCUGGUGCCUUGGAUGGCUCACUGCCCACCUACUCCACCCUGUCUGGGAGCCGGGACCCAGCAGACGUGGAGAAUCACCCGGGACCAGGGCUCAGCUCCCCCUCUUCCUGCUGGGGGACCAGCUCCGUCCAGGUGCUCCACCUGCCAGCUGUGGAUUGUAUCGAGAUGCUGGGCUUCCCUGCAUCCUGCACAUCUCUGCCUCUUUGUCUCCAGUGCCUCACCCCAUGCCUGGCACGGAGUGGGCGCUGCAGCGACUGGGUGCUCCACGUUCACCCAUACCUUCGGUGGGUACCUGUUGAGGGCUUCCCGUAGGCUACAUGCAGCACUCUGUUGAGGCUGUGCAGGUGAACAAAACUGAGAAAAGCGCCUGCUGUUUGGGAGAUUAUCCGCAAGACAAACAAGCAAGAGGCAUGGCAUGCUAGCUCGUGACACAUGAGACGGGGGCAGGUGAAGCAGGGAGCGGGGAGGAAGUGCGGCCGGGGGUGGGGGCAGGGGGUGAGGCUUUGGAGCACACAGCCAGGGAAGGCCUUGUGAGGCGAGCAGUUCAGGCAGAGCGAAGGGCACGUGCAAAGGCCGUGAGACAAGCACGCCAGCUUGGCUGAAGGACCGCAGGGAGCAGGGGAGCGGUCAGAGGCUGGGGCAGUGAGCUGUGGGUCCAGCUCUGGUGGGGCCUGAGGUCCUGGUGGCGACUCUGGGGUCAUGAGCUGACGUGCCCUCUGUGUGGAGAAGGGGUCUCGGGGGCAGGGUGAGUGCACGGCCUGUGAGACGGGGUCGGGCCAGGGAUGUGCUGUGAAGACUCAUGGGGUCAUCGGUGGGCCACAGGGCAAGAGAGAAGGGAAGGCAGGUGCCGGGGACUUGGGCCUUAGCACCAGAGGACCGUGGUGCGUGGUCAGCGGAGCUGCAGGAGCUGGUCUGGGGCAUGAUGGGUCUGAAGUACCCUGGGCCCCAGUGGAAGCUGGCCCGUCACCACUAUAGCCCAGGCCUUGCAGCUGGUUGUGUGGAUCUGAAGCACGGGAGAGGCGGUCUCCAGGGAGGCGUGGGGGUCGGUGCCGAGGACCAGGAGGCAGGUGGGCUCUCGGGGAGGUAGGGACCAAGUGCAGGCUCCAAGGCUGGGCAUCAGGGAGGUGAGGGGGCAGCGGGGGCGUCGGGGGAGCCCCUCAGAGUGGGGGCAGGUGCUCCUGCCGUGAGCACUGAAGUGGGUUGGGGUCCUUGUCAGGGAGGCGGGGGGGUGUGGGAAAGGGGUGCUGGACGGAGGAUGUGGGGCCAGUAGGGUUUCUGGACAGUAAGCAGCAGCGGCGUCUUGUGGCUGGGGGCCUAAUGGAGGUCCCCUCAGGCCCAGAGGCCACCGAGCCGGCGAGGGGCUGAGCAUGCUGGGUGUGCCCGCCCAGUGCUCAUUCCUCCGUGAUGGAGGGGUGGUGGGCUUCGAGGCGGAGGGGUGAGCCCAGCCCGCCUGGCAUGCGGUGCAGCCCGGGGGGCCGGCAGAGCAGGGAUGCGGGGUGCCUGGGGUGUGGUGGGGCUGCACGUAGAGGGGCUGGCACCUGAAGGUCCCUCCCCCAGCUCCACCGUGCGGCUGUGUGUCUGGCUGCCCGCAGUCCUCGCCGGCGUGUCCCCUGCUCUUACACCCCCACGCCCCAGGUGCCACGGGUGCAUUUUAGAGGAAGCUGUAAAGUCCACGAAGUCGUCCCUGCAGACACGGCAGCCUGUUUCUGGAAAACUGAUCACCUGCCUCCUGCCUCUUGACUUCUCAUUUGGGAGGGUCCUGACACCCCCAGCCUGCCAGCCGGGCCCCCGAGCCACCCUCCAAGGCCGGGCUGGUGGGGAGGAGGCAGCGCUGGGGCGGCUUCCCCGCGGGGCUGUGGCCAGGGGACCAGUGCCGCUCGGCCGGGGGCUCGCUCUGGGGAGGGCGUGAUGGCGCAGACCUGCCCACUGAGAAGGGCACUGGCGACCACCAGCAGCGGUGCCGGGAAGAGCCCGCACACGUGUCCAGCUGUGCAGGGAGGGGCCGCGCCCUGUGGGUCAGAUGCGACUCGGAAGCCAGUGUUGAGCACUUUAUUAAAGCUGGUGGCGGUAGGUACAUCGGGCGGCCCCCUAGCUCGGGGCUUUGAGGUCUUCUCCAGGGACAUGGGGCCGCUGGCCUGUGCCCUUCGCUGAGACCCGGAGGUGUUUGAAGGCGGUGGGCAGCGUGCGGCCCAGGAACGGAGGGUCGGUCACAUCCUGAACCAUGACGACGUACUCCCCUGCAAGAGAUGGGUUCUCAACUCACUCCCCAGCUGCCCCCGCCUGCCGGGCUCCUGCCCCACCAGAGCCUCUCUGCCCCUCGUCAGCGGCACCCCGAGCCCCACUUCCUGAUCUGGGGCUCCUGCCUCAGGGCCCCGCUGGGGCUCCGGGCCCUUCUCCUCUGGGACCCUGGGACCUGGUUGCUGUCUUGCUGGGUGGCUGGCUGUACAACGGAGGUGGAUAAAUGACUUUGGGGUGAAUGAAGCCGCCUCCCACCUCAGGACACAGCUCAGCUCUGCAGGGUGGGCUGGGUUCAAGGUCUCCCCUCCUGGCCAGUGGGGCUACGUGGCUGAGGGCAGGCGUCCUUUUGAAACUACUUUCCUAUCUUUUUAGGAGAAAAAUAAUUCACUUUCUCUAGAAGGCUUUUUAAACAUAAUUAGCCUCUGAAGA